GCGAGGUGGUGCUAAUCCUAGAAAAUUCUUCGUAGUCCGGAUUGGAGUCUGCAACUCGACUCCAUGAAGUCGGAAUCGCUAGUAAUCGCGAAUCAGCAUGUCGCGGUGAAUACGUUCUCGGGUCUUGUAACACCGCCCGUCAUACCAUGGAAGUGGAUUGCACCAGAAGUAGAUAGUCUAACCUUCGGGAGGGCGUUUACCACGGUGUGGCUUCAUGACUGGGGUAAAGUCGUAACAAGGUAGCCGUAGGGGAACCUGUGGCUGGAUCACCUCCUU
rnacentral:rRNA from 1 species